GAGAUUCUGUAAUUGCUCCAGCUUCUGCAGCUUUCAAGGAACAAACAUGAAACUAGUUACAACUGCCCAGAACUGAAGCAGAUGGGCAAAGGGGGGGCAUUCAAAAUCCGGUCUCCUUUGCCCCAAGUCAUCCCUAAGCUGUGCCCUCCUUAGGUUGAGAUGAGGUGAAGAUAGUUAAGUACAUAGGAAAGGCGAUUGUGAAAGUGCCACAGGGGUACCAUAGUAUAUGGCAUCCAAUGACCUUAAGAUUCCUUUGACGUCAUUCAGCAAAGCAACCUAUGGAACGAGACUACUAACAUCAUAUAUAAAAGUCCAAAAAAUAAGUUCACCUUACAUUCAUUCUUCCAAGCUGCCAGACAAGAAAGAAUUUUCAUUACCACAGCACCUACAAUUUUAACAUGAAGUUUCUAGUUUUAGCCAUUUUCCUGUCAGUUAUGCUGGCCUUCGCCUGUGGGGUUGCUGCACCACAACAUGGUGGCCGUUAUGGCGGCGGUCAUGGAGGCAGAGGUGGUGGACAUGGAGGAGGAGGAUACGGACAUGGAGGAGGAGGAGGAUACGGACAUGGAGGAAGAUACGGUGGCGGACAUGGAGGAAGAUACGGUGGCGGACAUGGAGGAAGAUACGGCGGACAUGGUGGUGGACAUCGUGGUUAAACAGAAACCAUCAUUCUGCAACACAUUCAGACUACCUCUGAGCCCCUCAGUGCAUUCAGUAUGGCAGCUCCUGAGUAUUGCAUUUAAACUGUGCUAUUUAAUUUAAAAUAAAAAAACAUAUUUUUAAA